GUCUACAGCCAUGCCACCCUGAACAAGCCAGAUCCCGUCUGUUCUCGGAAGCUAAGCAGGGUCGGGCCUAGUUAGUACUUGGAUGGGAGACCAGGUGCUGUAGGUG
rnacentral:rRNA from 1 species